rnacentral:tRNA from 1 species
GGGGUUGUGGCUCAGUGGUAGAGCACUUGCCUAGCAAUAAAUAAAAUAAAGGUCCAUUGACAACAAAAUAUUAAAAAAUAAAAAUAAAAAAAGAUUGCUGUGCGAGGCCAGGUGCGAUAGUGCAUGCCUGUAAUCCCA